rnacentral:rRNA from 1 species
ACUGUCUCCAUACAAAUAACUAAGAUACAAC